GUUAUGUGUGGGUUAAAACGGUUUGUGGAGCGCAGGAGACCCAGAUGAUCAUAGUCGAUGUCAAAUGCAGAAUCUAUAAUUUAUGAAGUAAUUACUCCAAUUUAAAACUAUAUGAACAGAAAAGAGCAAGUCUGAAGUUCUCACACCGAUAUCUGUAGUACGUUAAACGAGUGGGUGGGAACUACAUGAACUAGCUCCUCGUCUCUAAAGUGGACUUCGAGAUCAAGCGUCAUUCGGCGGCAUGUCUCCAGGACAGGAGUCGACUGUUGCGCGCAAGGAAAAGUAGCCUCGUCUGGGGUACAGGAGAUCUAUGGAGGCUUGAAAGUCUGACGGAAGGACACGGAGAACGUCAGACCGGUAUGACCACAUGACGUUCUUUGUCCAAUCAGAAAGCACACACUAAGAGUGAGGAAUGAAAUCCCUCUGGAGUGGCAGUGAUCUGACCAAAUGGAAACUGUUGAACAUUACAGCAUGUUGUCUACAGCAAGACUAAAAUGGUUGGACUAUUGUCCUUUAAAGGUCGACGCAGCUAUUUCAGAUGAGUCACUCUGAAGGUUCUUCUGUGUUGCCACAGGCAGGCAGGGCACCAGAUGACUGGUGUGUACUGGGAGUAGGGCUUUCAGUCGCUGCGCUGCAUUGGAGCACAAUUCACAGG
ensembl:lncRNA